rnacentral:rRNA from 1 species
AGUGAACGCUGGCGGUAGGCCUAACACAUGCAAGUCGAACGGCAGCACAGUAAGAGCUUGCUCUUACGGGUGGCGAGUGGCGGACGGGUGAGGAAUACAUCGGAAUCUACUUUUUCGUGGGGGAUAACGUAGGGAAACUUACGCUAAUACCGCAUACGACCUACGGGUGAAAGCAGGGGAUCUUCGGACCUUGCGCGAUUGAAUGAGCCGAUGUCGGAUUAGCUAGUUGGCGGGGUAAAGGCCCACCAAGGCGACGAUCCGUAGCUGGUCUGAGAGGAUGAACAGCCAAACGGGAAAUGAGAAACGGCCCAAAUCCCUACGGGAGGCAGCAGGGGGGAAUAUGGGAAAAUGGGCGAAAGCCUGAUCCAGCCAUACCGGGGGGGGGAAGAAGGCCUUCGGGUUGGAAAGCCAUUUUGUUGGGAAAAAAAAGGAGCAGGUUAAAACCCCGCUGUUCUGACGGUACCAAAAAAAUAAGCACCGGCUAACUUCGU